CCUACGGGAGGCAGCAGUGAGGAAUAUUGGUCAAUGGCCGGAAGGCUGAACCAGCCAUGCCGCGUGAAGGUCAGUGCCCUAUGGGCGUUAAACUUCUUUUGUGCGGGAGCAAUAAUGGUCACGUGUGGCCAGACGAGAGUACCGUACGAAUAAGCAUCGGCUAACUCCAUGCCAGCAGCCGCGGUAAUACGGGGGAUGCAAGCGUUAUCCGGAUUUAUUGGGGUUAAAGGGUGCGUAGGCUGUGAGGUAAGUCAGCGGUGAAAUGCCCCCGCUCAACGGGGUGAAGUGCCAUUGAUACUGCCUUGCUGGAAUGCGGAUGACGUGGGAGGAAUGUGUGGUGUAGCGGUGAAAUGCAUAGAUAUCACACAGAACACCGAUUGCGAAGGCAUCUCACGAAUCCGCGAUUGACGCUGAUGCACGAAAGCGUGGGUAUCAAACAGGAUUAGAUACCCUAGUAGUC
rnacentral:rRNA from 1 species